rnacentral:ncRNA from 1 species
GAUCCGCAGCCGGGCGGAUUAUUUGACACACGCGGUUGGCCACGACUUAUUACCAACUGCACCCGAGUUCAGCGGUGGUGUCAGCGGCGGCUCGCCAGAGCAGAGGUCUCUACCUCCAUGCCGCAUUCGUACUGACC